rnacentral:rRNA from 1 species
AACGAACGCUGGCGGCAGGCCUAACACAUGCAAGUCGAGCGCGCCCUUCGGGGUGAGCGGCGGACGGGUGAGUAACGCGUGGGAACGUGCCCUUCUCUGCGGAAUAGCCUCGGGAAACUGAGAGUAAUACCGCAUACGCCCUUUGGGGGAAAGAUUUAUCGGAGAAGGAUCGGCCCGCGUUGGAUUAGGUAGUUGGUGGGGUAAUGGCCCACCAAGCCGACGAUCCAUAGCUGGUUUGAGAGGAUGAUCAGCCACACUGGGACUGAGACACGGCCCAGACUCCUACGGGAGGCAGCAGUGGGGAAUCUUAGACAAUGGGGGCAACCCUGAUCUAGCCAUUCCGCGUGAGUGAUGAAGGCCUUAGGGUUGUAAAGCUCUUUCAGCUGGGAAGAUAAUGACGGUACCAGCAGAAGAAGCCCCGGCUAACUCCGUG